rnacentral:rRNA from 1 species
CAAUAGCGUAUAUUAAAGUUGUUGCAGUUAAAAAGCUCGUAGUUGGAUUUCUUGGAGGGUGCCAAUGUCCGCUACGGCGUGCGCAGCGGCGCCCUUCCAUCCUUCUGUUAACGCCUCUUGGCAUUCGUUUGCUGGUGGCGGGCUCAGAUAUUUUACCUUGAGAAAAUUAGAGUGUUUCAGGCAGGCUAGGCCGGAAUACAUUAGCUUGGAAUAAUAGAAUAGGACUACGGUCUCUUUGUUGGUUUGAGGGACUGCAGUAAUGAUUAAUAGGGAUAGUUGGGGGCAUUAGUACUUAACUGUCAGAGGUGGAAUUCUCAGAUUUGUUAAAGACUGACUUAUGCGAAAGCAUUUGCCAAGGAUGUUUUCAUUAA